AUUGAACGCUGGCGGCAUGCCUUACACAUGCAAGUCGAACGGCAGCGGACCUUCGGGUGCCGGCGAGUGGCGAACGGGUGAGUAAUAUAUCGGAACGUACCUUUCAGUGGGGGAUAACGUAGCGAAAGUUACGCUAAUACCGCAUAUUCUGUGAGCAGGAAAGCAGGGGAUCGCAAGACCUUGCGCUGAUUGAGCGGCCGAUAUCAGAUUAGCUAGUUGGUGAGGUAAAGGCUCACCAAGGCGACGAUCUGUAGCGGGUCUGAGAGGAUGAUCCGCCACACUGGAACUGAGACACGGUCCAGACUCCUACGGGAGGCAGCAGUGGGGAGUUUUGGACAAUGGGCGCAAGCCUGAUCCAGCCAUGCCGCGUGAGUGAAGAAGGCCUUCGGGUUGUAAAGCUCUUUCGGCCGGGAAGAAAUCGGCACAGGUUAAUACCCUGGUGUGGAUGACGGUACCGGAAUAAGAAGCACCGGCUAACUACGUG
rnacentral:rRNA from 1 species